UUCAGGAAACCCAUCGUAAAAUUGUCGAAGAAUUGUUCGAAUAUUAACAUAUUCAAGUAAAAUUUCACUAGUUUUUUUUCUCCUUGAAAUUUCGAAUUUUAUAAGUGUAGCUAAUUUUGGAAUGUUCUCAUCGUAGAUUUUAACCUCUACUAGUCUACUUCAGCAUUAGCCUGGGGAGUAAAUUUUCCUGCACAUCUGGUUAUCGUUAAAGGAACCGAGUCCUACGACUGUAAAAGCCAUCGCCACGUUGAUAUGCCCAUCAAAGAUAUUCUGCAAAUGAUGGGAAAAGCUGGUCGACCGCGGUUCCAUAAAUCAGGCAUAGCUGUUGUAAUGGUGCGUGAUGUGAAGAAAGGUUUCUAUAGAAAAUUCCUUUACAAACCAUUCCCCGUGGGAUCGAAAUGAUUUCCUGAGAAAUUUGAUCAAAGGCGCUGUAACGACGUUACAGAACUCGCAUUGCGUUGUUUUAGACGAGCCACAAUGCCAUGCAACAUUUCGCUAACAAGCUGAAAUCAGAUAAAUGAGUAUCAAAAAUCUCCUUCAUGUUGUAUCGCAUGCUUCCGAAUACUACGAAAUUCCCGUGCGUCACAGUGAAGAAAUUUAUGACACGCGAGAAUUGAA